UCUGUCCCUAGAGGUGUUGCAGAUGUGGUUGCUGUGUCGUGUAUGUCAGUAGGUGGCAGAGAGGCAAGAGGCUGUCUAAGCCCAGUGUUCUAACCUAUAAACAACUGAAUGAUUAGCAGCCUAACACU